CGGACGGGUGAGUAAUGUCUGGGAAACUGCCCGAUGGAGGGGGAUAACUACUGGAAACGGUAGCUAAUACCGCAUAACGUCGCAAGACCAAAGAGGGGGACCUCGGGCCUCUUGCCAUCGGAUGUGCCCAGAUGGGAUUAGCUAGUAGGUGGGGUAACGGCUCACCUAGGCGACGAUCCCUAGCUGGUCUGAGAGGAUGAUCAGCCACACUGGGACUGAGACACGGCCCAG
rnacentral:rRNA from 1 species